CAAUAAGCGCAGUAAAAGAAACCGACAGGAAUUGCCCCAGUAUCGUCUAGUGAAGCGGCAACAGCUCAUAUUUGGAAUCUGGCCCCCAGGGCCCGAGUUGUAAUCUGGAGAGGAUGCUUCUGGCGCGGCGCCUUCCGAGUUCCCUGCAACGGGACGCCGGAGAGGGUGAGAGCCCCGUACGGUUGGACGCCUAGCCUUUGUGAAGCUCCUUCGACGAGUCGAGUAGUUUGGGAAUGCUGCUCAAAAUGGGAGGUAAAUUUCUUCUAAAGCUAAAUACCGGCCAGAGACCGAUAGCGCACAAGUAGAGUGAUCGAAAGA
rnacentral:rRNA from 1 species